AAGGAUCAUUAGCACAAUCCAAACUUUAAAUUCUUGUGAACCCUGUUGUUUUAUUAAAAAACUUCUGUUCCCUCGAAAUUCAUUUGCCGUGUUUUUUGAGUAUAUUUUGUUGGAUUUAUUUCUAAUAAGGGUAUUCAAAAAAAGUGCGGAAAAGGCCUUUUGAGGGAACAGAAAGUUUUUUAAGCUUGUAAACAAUUAUUGAAAUAAACCUGACAAUUUAUUGUCAUGUAUCUUAAUUUAAAAACAACUUUUGACGGUGGAUCUCUUGGCUCAU
rnacentral:misc_RNA from 1 species